ACCAUUCAACAAUCCAACAAAUGUAGAUGUGCAAUAUUAGCAUUAAUGCAUUUAAAGUGUAGUGGUGUACAAAAAUAUAUCUUACUGACAAAUGUCAAAUAAAAUAUUUGAAUGUUACAAUAAUACAUACACAUAAGUCAUAAAGAAUAAAGUACAUAUAUUCCGAUUGACAUUAGUAAUUUACUUUGUAAUUACUCUUUUGAAAGUAAUUUUAAUCACUUAAGGAAAGUAAUAAAUGUGUCCUAUGUACAAUACGGAUACAUUAUAUGUACAUUUGAUUCAUUAAUGUCUUGUACUGACUGGUGCAAAAUUUUAGCCAAAUCGGAUAAUGCAAACUCGUACCGGAAAUCGUUUGAAAAGUGUGAAAUUAGAGAGAAAAUUAUUAUCUUUCCCAUAAGGUAUAAAAUAUUAUUACAUUGAACUGAAAAAUUAUAGGCAUAUUAUUUUCACAAAUAUGCAGCAGACCCAGCCCACUUUAUAAUUUCACCACUUUUUCUAAAAGUUCAUAGGUAUUACCCAAAUGCUCACAUGGAUGGUUGUAUAUGUAAAUUUUAAGGAUUCUAGUCUUGUUAUUUUUUCUGCAAUAAUUGAAAAAUAAAAAAGUUGUGCACCGUAUAAAUGUUUGCUUAAAAUUAACACUAUUUAUUGUAGGUAACCAGACUCCUAGUAUAAUUAGUGUAAAAAUACAUGUCGAAAAAUAUUUAAACAUUUUAAACACAAUGUAUGUUAAAAUACUGAAUACAAAUUUAGUAUUUUUACUCACUUAUGUGUUUAAAAAUGUUUAGCAACAUUCCAAUUAUGAGUAAACUUAAACAUUUUCCGCCUUAUGCAAAAACGAUCAUUUAGUUAACAAUAGGUUACUUUUAAAUCGUUUUUGCAUAAGGACAUUUAUAUGUAAAAUGUACUGAUGUUGAAAGUGCUUAAAAUUAUUCACCAAAUAUUAAAAGCCUACAAAUUCAAAAUAACCCAUUAAAAAAUUUUUUCACACAUGUCUGAUGUCAGAAAUUUUCUGAAAUAAUUCUAAUACUUUAUCAGAAUUUUAAGGAAUAAUAUAUAAUUCCUUAAGACAUUUUACAGAAUAAUCGGCAAACUUUUCUGCACAUUUUCUGAAGUAUUAAACGAUUAAAAUCAGACUUGUAUGCACUUUGGCGAAGAACAGUUUGUUUGUUUAUUUCUAUAAUAUUUUUUAGACAUAAUGGAGAAUAUUCUGCAAAAUCUUUAGUAAAGAAGUAAAAUAUAAAAUUGCUUACGAAUUAUAUCCGAUAAGUCUGCACAUAAUCUGAAAAUAAUUGUUUUUGUAACUUCAUCAGACAAUUAAGCAAAUAAUAAAAUGUUCUUUUAGAUAUUUAACAGAAUAGUGUACACAUUUUCAGUUAUUUUUACUUAGUCAUUUUAUUCCCUUUUUCAGCUCUUUUGUAAGAAAACUUUCCGAUAACUCUGUACAUUAUCUAAAGGAAGUUUAGUUUUUUUUUUAUAAAAAUCAUGCACAAACCGUUUAUAUUUUGAAAUUCGUCAGCUGUACUUUGAAGGGAAUUUAAGUUUUAUUUUCUUUUAUUUUCUCAGUAAGUCUUUGGAAAUCAUGUAAAAAACAUCAAGAUAUGUAAUGAUUAUUGUUUAAAUUUCUUUUAACAUU